UUAUACAAUCCCUUACUUUAGGUCAGUAUUUGGUCAAGCAAAAAUCUCUGAAGCACACCUAGUGCAAGUGCCAGAAAGAAAAAUACCAACUUUUUGAAAUCUGACAAGAAAUUUUCCCAGACUUUCCAAACAUUUAUCUUUAUUUGAGCUGACAUAACAGCAGUGAAGUAGCAAUCAUAGCAUGAAGGGUUCAUUGUGUCAGGGCCCAUAACUAAAAAUAGCCAUCGAAAGAACACUUUUUUUUUUAAACCUUUCAAAGAGAUGUACUAGAACGAUGCUAGCUUCAUUAGAUCUGUACUUGAAAAAAGUGGUACAUAAAUAAAAGUAUGUUUGUAAAUAUAUUGAUGCAUGCAGGAUAACUCUUUUUUUUGGUCACUAUCAACUUUUGAGUUUCUUUUGAGGGGGGGGGGG